rnacentral:lncRNA from 1 species
UGUCUUGUAGGUGACUCAGCAUCUAUGGUAGUUCAUGGGCAUGACACCACUUUGCCUAUUACACUUGAUGAGAUGCUUGUUCAUUGUAGAGCUGUUGCUAGAGGUGCUAAAAGGCCUCUUCUUGUUGGUGAUUUACCUUUUGGUACGUAUGAGUCUAGUACUAAACAGGUAAUUUUUUAAAAUUUUGUGCAAUUCUUUUUAAUUCUUGAUAAGUUCGAAUAGCUUAAAUUUGGAUUCCUAAUAGGCUAUUACCCUUGUUGGUGAUUUACCUUUUGGUACUUAUGAGUCUAGCACUAAACAGGUAAAAAAUUUAACUUUUGUGCAGUUCCUUUUACACCAUCAUGUUAAAUUGACCUUUGAUUAUGGAUAAUUCUGUAACUUUUCUUAGCAGUCUGAUAUGGUACAGUAUAGAAAAUUGCACUGAC